CCAUCGGGACACAAUCCUGUGCCAAGUGCUCUGGGAUGACCCUGUUUGAGCAGGGAGGUUGGACCAGAUGACCCACGGUGAUCCCUCCCAACCUGACCCGUUCUGUAAUUCUGUGACUGUAACACGAGCUCAAGUGAGCAGUGACACCAUUUCCCCUCCCCAGUGUGCAAACCAGUCACAGAAGAGGCUGUAUGGCAAACAGCAAAUGACAGGACGGACACGGUACCCAGCCCUCAGCAGGGUUUUGGAACUUCUUUAAGGCCCCUUCCAGCCCAAACCAUUCCAUCAUUCCAUGACACUCAGCAGCUCCAUGUUGUCUCUUCCUCCUGUGAAGAAAAAGGGGCUGCCCAAGUGUGGCACAGACACACAGUCCAUCCUUGCACCUGAGGGCUUCAUAGGAGCUGAGGACAGCUCUCAAGCAGCACCUGAAACACCACCCUAGGGUGAAGCUUUGUGUACUGCCCAACCAUAGACAGCUGAAAGGAACCAGGUCUUUCCAUGAGCCAGGGGUUAUCCAGGCCUGGAGACUCCUGUGCCUCACAGGCAGUGAGAGGCAGUAUUGGAGUAGAGAAUCUUCUGCUUUCCAAUUACCCCCUCGAAAUGAUGUGUACCAAGAGGUGAGACAGGGAGUGCACACCACCAACCCCUGGUAUAUUUUAAGUCUACUCUGUGAAAUUAUACUCCCCUCUCCUAGUUUUUUUAAUUUUCAGGACCAAACUCACCACCUGCCAUCACUGACUUCAAGCAUCAGGGUAGCUGACUAAAUUAACAAUUUAAGCACCCCUUAAAACCCUUCUCGUGCUCCAGACAGAAGGGUCUCUCCUCCUGAAAUACUAAUAGGACAUUUUAUCACCUCAAAAGUUCCAGCACUGUGGGAAAUUUACAUUACAUGGCCUGAAAACACAGGCACUUGGGGGUAAAAGCUUUUUUUUUUUUUUUUUGGCACGGUCAAGAAAUUUGAUUUAUUCCUUUCAAACAGGGACUUGAUCUGUGCCAGACAGAACAUCUAGAAAUAAAAUGGGCAGCUCCACAAACUCAAGCAAGGUUUUACCCAUUUGUUUUUAGUUCAGCAUCCAAAAGUCAAUGCAUCUGCACACCAAAAGAAGAUCCAGGAAGUAAUGGGGAGGUCUCUUCUACUUCAUCUUAGUAAUCUUUUAGCAGAAAACUAUAGACAGCUUCCAACCACUGCAAAUCCAAAGCAGGGAGGUGUUCUCUGAAGAAUGACCUUUGCAUUCAGUUACAAUCACCCUUGUCCCAGCAUGGUUCAACAGAACAGACUGAUAUUCUUUGUGCAGAGUAAUUUUUUUAGAACAUAUUAUCUCAUUUCUGUUACAUAAUUUCAAUAAUGUGUGCAUAAAUUUAAACAGCUGGACUACUAAGGUAAUUUAAAAAAAAAAGGCAACCCUAACAGCAGUCAUUUCAAACUUAAGCAACAAAGACAUGUUUUGAGAUAAAGAGCUGAACAGAGUUUUAAAUGUCCCAAGAAACUUAGGAGCAUUAAAGGGCACAGUUUGCCUGUAAAAAAAA